GCCCAGUGAAACAUUUAACGGCCGCAGUAUCCUAACUGUGCUAAGGUAGCGUGAUCAUUAGCCCUUUAAUUGGGGGCCUGUAUAAAGGGCUGAACGAGAGAUAAGCUUUAUUAAAGAGGCAGACUUAAACUAGCUUCUUAGUUCAAAGACUGAGAUGUUUUUAAAAGACGAGAAGACCCCGUAGAUCUUUGACUAUUUUUACAGUACAACCAAGCCUUUAUCUCAAGAGUACAGUUAAAAAGUAUUUAGUUGGGGAGACAGGAAAAUAAAAAGAACUUUUCUUAAGAUAACUCAUAUUUGAGAAGGUUUAAUCCACUAUAAGUGAAAUAAGAUAAAGUUACCUCGGGGAUAACAGCGUUAUACCUGUUGAGAGUUCUAAUCGACACAGGUGCCUGCGACCUCGAUGUUGGACUGAAAUAAGAAAUUGGAGUAAUCCUUAAUUAAACUUGGUCUGUUCGACCAUUGAAUUUUCACACGAUCUGAGUUAAGACCGGCGUGAG
rnacentral:rRNA from 3 species